rnacentral:rRNA from 1 species
ACGGCUCAGUAACACGUAGUCAACCUACCUUAUGGACGGGAAUAACCUCGGGAAACUGAGAAUAAUGCCCGAUAGAACAUUAUGCCUGGAAUGGUUUAUGUUUCAAAUAAUUUAUUGCCGUAGGAUGGGACUGCGGCCUAUCAGUUUGUUGGUGAGGUAAUGGCCCACCAAGACUAUUACAGGUACGGGCUCUGAGAGGAGUAGCCCGGAGAUGGGUACUGAGACACGGACCCAGGCCCUAUGGGGCGCAGCAGGCGAGAAAACUUUGCAAUGUGCGAAAGCACGACAAGGUUAAUCCGAGUGGUUUCUGCUAAAGGAACCUUUUGUCAGUCCUAGAAACACUGAUGAAUAAGGGGUGGGCAAGUUCUGGUGUCAGCCGCCGCGGUAAAACCAGCACCUCAAGUGGUCAGGAUGAUUAUUGGGCCUAAAGCAUCCGUAGCCUGCUUUGUUAGUUUUCGGUUAAAUCCAUACGCUUAACGUAUGGGCUGCCGGAAGUACUGCAAAGCUAGGGAGUGGGAGAGGUAGACGGUACUCGGUAGGAAGGGGUAAAAUCCUUUGAUCUAUUGAUGACCACCUGUGGCGAAGGCGGUCUACCAGAACACGUCCGACGGUGAGGGAUGAAAGCUGGGGGAGCAAACCGGAUUAGAUACCCGGGUAGUCCCAGCUGUAAACUAUGCAAACUCAGUGAUGCAUUGGCUUGAUGCCUAUGCAGUGCUGCAGGGAAGCCGUUAAGUUUGCCGCCUGGGAAGUACGUACGCAAGUAUGAAACUUAAAGGAAUUGGCGGGGGAGCACCACAAGGGGUGAAGCCUGCGGUUCAAUUGGAUUCAACGCCGGG